GACGAACGCUGGCGGCGUGCUUAACACAUGCAAGUCGAGCGGUAAGGCCCUUCGGGGUACACGAGCGGCGAACGGGUGAGUAACACGUGGGUGACCUGCCCCCAACUCUGGGAUAAGCCCGGGAAACUGGGUCUAAUACCGGAUAUGACUCUCAGUCGCAUGAUCGAGAGUGGAAAGUUCUUCGGUUGGGGAUGGGCCCGCGGCCUAUCAGCUUGUUGGUGGGGUGAUGGCCUACCAAGGCGACGACGGGUAGCCGGCCUGAGAGGCGACCGGCCACACUGGGACUGAGACACGGCCCAGACUCCUACGGGAGGCAGCAGUGGGGAAUAUUGCGCAAUGGGCGAAAGCCUGACGCAGCGACGCCGCGUGGGGGAUGACGGCCU
rnacentral:rRNA from 1 species